GAUGAAGAACGUAGCAAAAUGCGAUAAGUAAUGUGAAUUGCAGAAUUCAGUGAAUCAUCGAAUCUUUGAACGCACAUUGCGCCCGCUGGUAUUCCGGCGGGCAUGCCUGUUCGAGCGUCAUUUCAACCCUCAAGCCCCCGGGUGUGGUGUUGGGGAUCGGCUCUGCCCUUCUGGGCGGUGCCGCCCCCGAAAUACAUUGGCGGUCUCGCUGCAGCCUCCAUUGCGUAGUAGCUAACACCUCGCAACUGGAACGCGGCGCGGCCAUGCCGUAAAACCCCAACUUCUGAAUGUUGACCUCGGAUCAGGUAGGAAUACCCGCUGAACUUAAGCAUAUCAAUAAGCGGAGGA
rnacentral:misc_RNA from 1 species